GACAGAGGGGGCGAGCGGUGUCCGGAGUCACUGGGCGUAAAGCGCGCGCAGGCGGCAACCUAGGUGUCGUGUGAAAGCCCCCGGCUCAACCGGGGGAGGCCAUGGCAAACUGGGUCGCUCGAGCUGCGGAGAGGCCCCUCGAAUUGCCGGUGUAGCGGUGAAAUGCGUAGAGAUCGGCAGGAAGACCAAGGGGGAAGCCAGGGGGCUGGCCGCAGGCUGACGCUGAGGCGCGACAGCGUGGGGAGCAAACCGG
rnacentral:rRNA from 1 species